GUUUGGGGCUUGGAUGCUUUGAUAUCAUCUGACAUCUCAUCUGAAGGAUCAAGUUCCUCACUAAAUCUUUAGGAAUCUUUUACUAAUUUGCAAAAUUGACUUUUCAACAUCUACUCAAGUAGUCUUUCUAGUUCAGAGGUCCACCAAAGUGAGCAUCACUUGUGCAUAUUCUUUGCUGUGCGUUGGAGUCUCCGUUCAGUUAAACCCUUGUUGAAGAAUUGUGAGAGGUUUGACAGAUGAAUUGCUGAG